rnacentral:rRNA from 1 species
UACGGGGGGAGCAAGCGUUGUUCGGAUUUACCGGGCGUAAAGGGCGCGUAGGCGGCCAGCACAAGUCAGUUGUGAAAUCUCCGAGCUUAACUCGGAAAGGUCAACUGAUACUGUGCGGCUAGAGUGCGGAAGGGGCAACUGGAAUUCUUGGUGUAGCGGUGAAAUGCGUAGAUAUCAAGAGGAACACCUGCGGCGAAGGCGGGUUGCUGGGCCGACACUGACGCUGAUGCGCGAAAGCCAGGGGAGCGAACAGG